UACUUCUAAAAAAUACGAGUGUAAUCAUUUCUUUCAUACUUGUAUGAAAUAUCGCAAACUCCCGCAAUGCUUUCGCAUCUUCUGGCUGGAUAUCUGUCCAAGCGUAGGCCUUCUUCAUGGGGAUGUCUUUGGAUCAGGGAAGUUUAAAGGGACUUUUAUGUCGGGU